rnacentral:rRNA from 1 species
GCGUGGGAAUCUACCUUUUGCUACGGAAUAACGCAGGGAAACUUGUGCUAAUACCGUAUGUGUCCUUCGGGAGAAAGAUUUAUCGGCAAGAGAUGAGCCCGCGUUGGAUUAGCUAGUUGGUGGGGUAAAGGCCUACCAAGGCGACGAUCCAUAGCUGGUCUGAGAGGAUGAUCAGCCACAUUGGGACUGAGACACGGCCCAAACUCCUACGGGAGGCAGCAGUGGGGAAUAUUGGACAAUGGGCGCAAGCCUGAUCCAGCCAUGCCGCGUGAGUGAUGAAGGCCCUAGGGUUGUAAAGCUCUUUCACCGGAGAAGAUAAUGACGGUAUCCGGAGAAGAAGCCCCGGCUAACUUCGUGCCAGCAGCCGCGGUAAUACGAAGGGGGCUAGCGUUGUUCGGAAUUACUGGGCGUAAAGCGCACGUAGGCGGAUCGAUCAGUCAGGGGUGAAAUCCCAGGGCUCAACCCUGGAACUGCCUUUGAUACUGUCGAUCUGGAGUAUGGAAGAGGUGAGUGGAAUUCCGAGUGUAGAGGUGAAAUUCGUAGAUAUUCGGAGGAACACCAGUGGCGAAGGCGGCUCACUGGUCCAUUACUGACGCUGAGGUGCG